AUCACCUGGGGAUUUUGUUUUUAAAAUGCAGAUUCUGAUUCAGGAGAUCUGGGGUAAAACCUGAGAUCCUGCAUUUCUAACAAGCUCCCAGGUGAUGCUGC
rnacentral:pre_miRNA from 1 species